rnacentral:rRNA from 1 species
GUGCAGCAGUCGCGAAAACUCCGCAAUACGCGAAAGCGUGACGGGGCUAUCCCGAGUGCCGUCCGCUGAGGAUGGCUUUUCCCUAGUGUAGAUAGCUGGGGGAAUAAGGAGAGGGCAAGUCUGGUGUCAGCCGCCGCGGUAAUACCAGCUCUUCGAGUGGUAGGGAUGUUUAUUGGGCUUAAAGCGUCCGUAGCCGGCUCGGCAAGUCCCCCGUUAAAUCCAACGAUUCAAUCGUUGGACUGCGGGGGAUACUGUUGAGCUAGGAGGCGGGAGAGGCCGACGGUAUUCCCGGAGUAGGGGUGAAAUCCUAUAAUCCCGGGAGGACCACCAGUGGCGAAGGCUGUAGGCUAGAACGCGCUCGACGGUGAGGGACGAAAGCUGGGGGAGCGAACCGGAUUAGAUACCCGGGUAGUCC